CUUCAGGAUCGCUAGGGUUCCGGUCGGACGCUUUCAUGCGCACGAUGCCUGGUCCGAGAGCAAUCCGGUCUUGCCGUUCACCUUCUUUCAAGGCGCCGGCGAGGCUCCACGGAGGGAUAAAAGCCCGGGAGGU
rnacentral:sRNA from 19 species